rnacentral:misc_RNA from 1 species
GUAGGUGAACCUGCGGAAGGAUCAUUAACACGAAUUUUAUCCAAUAUCAAACCAAACGUGAACUUUUCCCCUCCCUAUUCUUUAUGAAUGAAAAUUCAUUAUGAAUAGGCUAAACCCUUUUUUACUCUAUAUAUAAUAACGAUUCGUUCGCUAUUGUAUAUAUAGUGUUUUAACUCCUAACAACUUAACUCUAGUUUGUCGAGGUUCUCCUCUUCAACUACUAACACUAAAAAAUGUCAUUUCUCUUAAUUGAGUGUGGCUUUUUUCGAUAUACGAAAUUAAGAACAACUCUUAACAAUGGAUAUCUUGGUUCUC